rnacentral:lncRNA from 1 species
GGUCGGGCUCCUACUGGGGAGCUGCGGCAGUUUGUUACUCGAGGCCGCCCUUCAGGGCGGGCCCCGAAGGCCCGGCCUGGUGGAGAGUUGGUUUUGUCAGCAGUUUGGGUUCUCCAUGUUUGACAGCUUCCCUUUGCUCACCCAAAUGGGAGAAAAAGCAAGAUGAACGUACUUUAAUACUAAAAGAGUAAGAGCCCAUGAGCACAAUACAGUUUCAAACUUCGAAGAAAAGGAGAAAUUAAUAAGUGAUGUCCCCAAGAAGGCAGAAAGAAAACCUCUUUCUGCAGUCCAGACCUGGGAGAGGUGAUUUGUGUCAAGUAUUUUUGUUAUAGCACUGAAAAGUUUGGAAAACUAUUUAAAGAAUAGGACUCUGAGGAUGGAGUAGGUUACUCCUGGGAAAAAAUAUCCCGGUUAUUCAGUAAAUACUCUGCGUGGGAGGAGUAGAGAAAGACAGAAAC